CAUGGCCGCCCCCCUCUUCCCAUCCUCUUAUCCAUCCACAAAUCCACAAAUAGCCACAAUCGAGGGUUUUCUCCUCCCACGCCUCACCAUUCGCCGUGCACUUCCCGCCGCUGCUCCCUUCCUGCCGCUGCACCUCCCCCGUUGAGAUGCCCAAGUGCACCAUGGGAGGGAGGGCCGACGUCAGGGCCGACGCCAUGGCGUCCGAAGCAUCCAAGCCCCGUGCGAAGCUAGACAUGGAGAAACUCGUCCCCGUCGGCGAGGGGUCGAGCAGGCAGCAGGGUGGCCUUGACGUCGUCGAAGACGUCCAGGCUCUUCCGCCAGAGCAGGUGGCUCCUUCGCCGGAGCGUGUGGCACCUACGCCGGAGCAGGUGGCUCCUUCGCCGGAGCAGGUGUCUCCCCUGCCACGCCAUUUGCCUCCUUUCUCGUAGCCCGUGGUUGAUGGCAACGACGACGGAGAAUAGGUAGCUUCUAUGGCUUCUCUGCGGGAGCAGGUGGUGGCUCCUCAGCCUUAGCCGGGUGCUCAUGUGCCGUGGGUGUGACGCUUACUCAAACAUGCCCUUGAUUCGUACUAACUGACAAUGUCGACAAUGACCCAGAAACCCAGAGGAUCUACAAGAGGCACAAGGGGAGGGAGCUGGACAAUGGAUUGCACGAUAAACGUGUGAGGCCUAGAAUUGGAAAGGGGGGGCUACGGAUGCCCUUUCAGCAACAAGUUGAUGAAAGGCAGCCUGACGAGUGCCAUUCAGCAUGCACUCAGAACAUCUCGUGGCUCCCUUAAGAAUGGCUACGCUUUCAGGGUGGCGCAUGCCGCGUACGCCAAGUACUUGACGAGGCUUUAGGGAAGUGUGCACCCUCGUAGCUAGAUCUGAUGCUCUUUUGGUUUUAGCCAUGCUAUUCUAUGUUGGUGAACGUUUAUGGUUGAACUAUGUGCACCAGUACUGCUAAGUGUUGUUUGGUUUUGUAUAUAUGGAAGCGUUGAACUAAGCUUAGAAUGGAAGUUCUUUUGGUAUGAA